rnacentral:rRNA from 1 species
GACGAACCGUGCGAACGUUGUUCGGAAUCACUGGGCUUAAAGGGCGCGUAGGCGGGCCGCCGCGUCCGGGGUGAAAUCCUCCCGCUCAACGGGAGAACGGCCUCGGAUACGGGCGGCCUGGAGGGGGGUAGGGGCAGGCGGGAACGCUGGGUGGAGCGGUGAAAUGCGUUGAUAUCCAGCGGAACUCCGGUGGCGAAGGCGGCCUGCUGGAUCCUCACUGACGCUGAGGCGCGAAAGCCAGGGGAGCGAACGGG